AUUGAACGCUGGCGGCAGGCCUAACACAUGCAAGUCGAACGAGUGGCGGACGGGUGAGUAAUGUCUGGGAAACUGCCCGAUGGCGGGGGAUAACUACUGGAAACGGUAGCUCAUACCGCAUACCAUCGGAUGUGCCCAGAUGGGAUUAGCUUGUAGGUGAGGUAACGGCUCACCUAGGCGACGAUCCCUAGCGGGUCUGAGAGGAUGACCAGCCACACUGGAACUGAGACACGGACCAGACUCCUACGGGAGGCAGCAGGGGGGAAUAUUGCACAAUGGGCGCAAGCCUGAGUCAGCAAGGCCGCGUGUGUGAAGAAGGCCUUCGGGUUGUAAAGUACUUUCGGCGGAGAGGCGGUACCAGAAGAGGAAGCACCGGCUAACUCCGUGCAAGCAGCCGCGGUAAUAC
rnacentral:rRNA from 1 species